GAUCAUGGCUCAGGACGAACGCUGGCGGCGUGCUUAACACAUGCAAGUCGAACGAGAAUCUACGGAUCGAGGAUUCGUCCAAGAGAAGUAGAGGACAGUGGCGGACGGGUGAGUAACGCGUGGAGGAACCUGCCUUUCAGAGGGGGACAACAGUUGGAAACGACUGCUAAUACCGCAUGACACAUUGGGGUCGACAUGGCUCUGAUGUCAAAGAUUUAUCGCUGAAAG
rnacentral:rRNA from 1 species